UACGAAGGGGGCUAGCGUUGCUCGGAAUUACUGGGCGUAAAGGGCGCGUAGGCGGCCUGCUAAGUCGGAUGUGAAAUCCCUCGGCUCAACCGAGGAACUGCCUGUCAAACUGCAUGGCUUGAGACCGGGAGAGGUGAGUGGAAUUCCCAGUGUAGCGGUGAAAUGCGUAGAUAUUGGGAGGAACACCAGUGGCGAAGGCGGCUCACUGGACCGGUACUGACGCUGAGGCGCGAAAGCGUGGGGAGCAAACAGG
rnacentral:rRNA from 1 species